CCUGCUUCUGCCUCCUGAGUGCUGGGAUUAAAGGUGUGUGCCACCACUGCCCGGCCACUUAAUGGUUUUUUUUUUUUACACAAUUUUGGAUUAUUAAAAGAGAUAGCUUAGGAAUGGUUAGGAAUAUGUUUACACAUACCAUCAUGAAUUCUCAAAUCCUUCCUUCAUUUCCUUCAUGCCAAAUGUCUAAGAAGUAGUGAUUUGGCAACUGUAGAUACCAGAUAUAUGAAUGCAUUCCAGCUACAGAUCACCAGCUGUACAGUGUUGCCCACGUUGGGUUUAAUGCUCAUUGCGAUGGAAGGGAAAAUGAACCACCGAGCAUAGGAGUAUGCCACAACAGAAAGGUGGUGGGACUUAGAGAGGGGUAGGGCAUGGUGGCACAAACCUGCCAUCCCAGCACUUGGAAAGAAGAGGGGGCGGUGUGCUCCUGCAGAGAACCUAAGUUUGGUUCCCAGUACCCACACUGGGCAACUCUCAACCACCUGUAACCCCAUCUCUAGGUGGGGUGUCUGAAAUCUGGACUCUGAGGGUACCGGUACCUGCACUCCAUAUGCACACAGACACACACGUCUGCACACACACACACACACACACAUGUGUCUGUACACACAUCUGCACACACACGUGUCUGUACACACACAGGUCAGCACACACACAUCUGCACACACACGUGUCUGUACACAUACACACACAUUUUAUUUUAAAGGGGAGAAACUUCCGUUUGGGAUUUGGGUUAGUGAUUUGGGCGUUUAAGGAAGUGGGUAUUGUCAAAGGAGGCAGGGGUCAUUCUACAGGUGGGCAUCUUGAAAAGGAGGACUGGCUACAGGGUACUAAAGCUGUGGUGGUGAUGCAGCAGCCAUCGCUCUAGCUUAGACGCAGAUGCUUGCUUCUUUGUGACAUGCACACUAAUCUUAUGCUUAAAGUGUGAAUUGGUUAUAUUAUUUUUUGUCUUUACCACAGUCAUUCUCUUGUUUUUUUGUUGUUUUUGAGACAGGAUUUCUCUGUAACAGCCCUGGCAGUUCUGGAACUCACUCUGUAGACCAGGCUGGCCUCUAAUUCACAGAGAUCCACCUACCUAUGUCUCCCGGGUGCUGGGAUUAAAGGGGUGCGCCACCACCAUCCGGCCAUCACUGGAUGACAGUCUUGUGCUGAUAUUUUGCAUUUGGUUCAACACCAAAACUGUGAACCCAUCAGCUCAAUGAUGAAACCUGGCUGGCUCUGUCAGCUCAGCUCCUAGACAUCAGGAGAUAAUAUGUGCAUGUGUGUGUGUGCUGGUGAGCUUAAGUCUUGCAGAUAGUAAGUGCGUGUGUGUGUGUGUGUGUGUGUGUGCGCGUGUGUGUGCGUGUGUGUGCGUGUGUGCUGGUGAGCUUAAGUCUUGCAGAUAGUAAGUGCGUGUGUGUGUGCGCGCGUGUGUGUGCUUGUGUGCUGGUGAGCUUAAGUCUUGCAGAUAGUAAGUGCGUGUGUGUGUGCUCGCGUGUGUGUGUGUGCUGGUGAGCUUAAGUCUUGCAGAUAGUAAGUGCGCGUGUGUGUGUGCUCACACUUGCUCAACCAGGUUCACAUUCCCAGUUCUAGUAGCCCACGUCCCCCAAAAGCACAGGGGGCCAGGUUUGGUUCCCAGCAGCCACACAACUGCUCACAGCAGUCUAACUACAGUUCCAGGGGAUCCAACACCCUCUUCUGGCUUCCGUGGGCUGCGCAAACAAGCGGUACAAAGACAUGUCCUCAAGCACACACAAAUACCCAUAAAACAAAUAAUCAACAACAAAGCAUACAAGGUCAGCCUUGGCUAUUUAGCAAGCUCAAAGCCAGCCAGAGCUACAUGAGACCCUGUUUCAAAAGCACAAGAAACCACACCGUGUGAACUGUCCCUGGUAAAAGGUGAAAAAUCCUCUAUUCACCUCAGUUAGGGUAGGAACAAUAGACCUUGAUAACGAGCUAUUUGAAUCUAGCUUGAUAAGCCAAUGAGUUCAUUAGGUUUAAUUAAUUAAUUAGGUUUUUCUCUGUGUAGCCCUGGCUGUCCUGGAACUCUCUCUGUAGACCAGGCCGGCCUCAAACUGACAGAGAUCUGCUUGCCUCUGCCUCCAGAGUGCUGGGAUUAAAGGCAUGUGCCAUGAGUGACGUGAUACCCAAACAGCCCUACCAAAGUGUCCCUCCCUCAACAGAGUCUUCUGCCCAAGCUUCAUGUGCUCUAGUGCCUCCUGAGACCUCGUGGCCCUGGGGCAGGGUUACUGGGGAAAGACAACACAGGAGGGAGCGAAUUGCUGGGAUCUCACUGGAGGGAUGAUGACCCCACACCGUCUAUGGGGCAACUUCAGCAGAAGAAGAUCUUGCUGAGGGUUUUUUGUAGGUACUCAUGGCUGCUCUGAUGGAGAGAGAGAGAGUGGAGCCAAGACAGGAGCCUCAAACCAAGUGGCUAAGGGGACAAGAGACAGAGACGCCAGCAGCCAAAAUGGCUGUUUAUACAGGAAUCAGAAAAGCUGGGUAAGUAGGCCCUGGGUGAGAGUUUGGAGUCGGUGGCACAUAUGCAAGCCAGGAGGACUGUGUAACAGGUCGGGACUGAGGGAGACGGUGACAUGAGUCCACCAAGACAUGUUAAUAGGAAAUAUGGAAUUAGCCUUUUUUUUCUUCCCCUUUGGUUUUUCGAGACAGGGUUACUCUGUGGCUUUGGAGGCUGUCCUAGAACUAGCUCUUGUAGACCAGGCUGGUCUCGAACUCACAGAGAUCCACCUGCCUCUGCCUUCCAAGUGCUGGGAUUAAAAGCGUGCGCCACCAACGCCCAGCUGGAAUUAAUCUUUAGUCCUGAGUUUGAGACCUAACGGAGUGCUUGCAGCUACCACUGUCUUCAAGAGUUCUGCUGGCCCCUGCUCACAGCCGCUCACGACACCUCGGCCUGCUGACUAUUUCAUCUCUCCUAGGAAGAGGCAGGGGUCACAGGAGCUAACCCUGCCCUAAUUGCCUUGGGGUCAUGGUUCAUGGGGGCAGGGCUAGAGGGUGUAGGUCGGAAAGGCCGAGGGGAAGGCGCUCUUCUCGGUACAACCAUGGGGAUGCUGUCAUCCCUCCUGGGUGCCGACAGUCCAGUGCUGCUCUUACUCAUACCUUCUCACUCGCUGUUCUGUAAGUAAGCCUGAUAACUCACUGGUUCCCCCAGUGAACUUUGGUGGAAUUGUACCUUAGUCUUUGGAACUUUAGAAUUAGGGUUAAACAUCGUGUAUGUCACCAGGGAAGGAAUAUUCCCAACACUUGCCAGGAUGAGUUGGGAAGACCAUGGUAUCGCUCCUGAUAGAAGCAUGACUUGGACAGCAGCAGUGUCACUGUCUGAAGAGGGACACAGCUGCUUGGCUACUGAAGCCCACCAUGUGAGUAUGGAGAUGGCCUGAGGGAAAUGACUCACCAGAGACCAGGAUACCGGAAGUGGCUGCCAAGGCUGCAGGGAUGCUACUGGGCAGUGAGAAACAACUUCGGGGCCACAUGUGGUGACACUUUUUUUCUUUUCUUAAUUAAUUUUUAAAUUUCACAUGACAACCACCGUUCCCCCUCCCUCAUCUCCCCCAGUUCCCUCCCCCACCUUUCUACAACCCCCCAUCCUCUCCUCAGAAGGGGCGAGUCCUCCCACGGGAGCCAACGAAGCAUGGUAUAUCAAGCAGAAGCAGGACCAAGCUCCUCCCGAUGCAUCAAGGCUAAACAAGGCAUCCCACCAUAGGGAAUGGGCUCCAAAGAGUCAGUUCAUGCACUGGGGAUAGGCCCUGGCCCCACAAACAGACCAAGCUACACACCUGUCAGUCACCCUCUGGAGACAGGAAUAAAGAAAGGGCACGCAGGUGGAUCCCUCCCUGGAGUUAGAGUGAUCAACAUGCCUGUCACCCACUCCCAGACUCAGGGACCCUUAUGGGAGAGGGUUGGGAAGAAUGUGAGAGAAGGGUAGAGGUUUUGUGCAGGACUAUCCUCGAACCCAAACUGCUGCCUAGGAGUUCUGCUGGGCCUGCUCGCCAAAGCUCUCGUCACAGCUGGGCCUGUUGACUAUUCCCAUCUCUCCUAGGAGGAGGAGGCAGGAGGGUCAAGGGACCCUCACCUGAGUAUCCAGCCAACCCUGCCCACCGGCUGUAUGCAGUUCUGCCCUAAUUGCCUUGGGGCCGUGGUUCAUGGCGGCAGAGCUAGAGGGUGUAGUGGGAAAGGCUGAGGGGAAGGCGCCCUCGCGGCCAUGAGGAAGCCAUCAUCCCUCCUGGGUGUUGCUGCUUUAAGGUUACCAUCUGGUGCUCCGGCUCACAACUUCCCACUCGCUGUUCUGUAGAGGCGAUUCACAACACUCCUCUGACAGAGGACCUGAGACUGGUUCCCAGCACCCAAACCUGUGACUCUGGAUGCACACACUCAGUCUAUAUGUUGUGUAUGUGUGCUGAUUCAUGAGGACGGAUGCCAGAAGAGGACGAAAAGAGGAUGCCCAGUCCUCUGUCACAGGCCAGAAGCAAGCGCUCAGCCUCCCACCACGCUCUGAUGUUUUUCUGUUUUCUUUUCUUUGUUUGUUUGUUUUUCAAGACAGGGUUUCUCUGUGUUGUUUUGGAGCCUGUAAACCAGCAAGACCCGGUGAUUCUCUGUCUCUGUCCCUCUGGGAAAGGGGCAUAGGCUUGCUCUGGGGCCCAGCUUCUUAGGUGGGUGCUGGGAAUAGAACUCCGUUCCUCCUGAUUGUGCAGUAAGCCCUUUACCACUGACCCAUCUCCUCCCUGGUUAUGGGUUUUUAAAGAUCACUGACAAACCAGAGAGACAGGUGAAAAAAAGUCAAACCAAACAAAUAGCAAAUAAUUUUGAAGAGAAGGGGUGAGUCCAAAGCAAGCAAUGUCUCAGAUGUUUAAAAGGCUAUCCAGUCAAUCAUGACAGUGUAUACUUCCUAGUUACUCCAGAGACUGAGGCAGAAGGAUUGCUAAAUUGAAGACAAACCUGGAAAAUUUGUCAAAUAAAAAGGAUUGUGGGGACAGUGUGUCAUAUGCCUUUAAUCCCAGUACCCUGGAAGAAGUGGCAGGUAAAUCUCUGGGUUCCAAGUCAGCCACGGCUACAUAGUAAGGCCCUAUCCUAAAAUAAAUUAAUGAAGAUGGCGCAGCUGGCUGCACAGUAGAGCGGAGUCCUGUGCUGUGCAAAGGAAAUAAAAUGGACUAAAAGGGAUUCUAGACUAAUAUCCAACAUUUACUUAGUAUAAACCAAGGCACGGUGCUAGGCAUUUUAUGUAUAAUAGCGCACAUACAGCGCCCACACUCAACAUUCAAACACACACACACACACUCACAACCUCCUGUAACUACAGUUUCAGGACAAUGAUACCCUCUCCUGACCUCCUCAUGUACAAGGCACUCAUGUACCACACAAACAUACAUGCAGCAGGCAAAGCACCCAUAUAUAUAAAGUAAUUUUUUUGAGAUGGUUUUUCUGUGUAGUCCUGGCUGUCCUGGACUCACUCUGUAGACCAGAAUCUCUGCCUCUGGCCGGCUAUAAAAUAAAAAAUGUAAGGAACUGAAAACAAAACACGCGAAUAUUCUGCUAGGCUUCAAUUACUAAGGAACGGGUCAGGAUUCAAUUAGGCAAUAUGACUCCAGACUAUAAUAAAGCUAUCCGACUGACGGUAGCUUUUGAAGAUGAGUAACGAUAAAAGCUUCCUCAAUCCUGUCUCCUUCCGUCUUCUAGAGUGUGUUGAGAUCGAAUACCACAUCCGACCAUGUGCUUCCCGCCGGAGGCAAUGAUGCACCCAGAAGUCCCUACUCAAGCCUUGUCCAUCGAGACGCUGCCUUUACAGCAUGUAACCACCAGGUGGCGCCCGUGACACAAGAUUGACAACAGAUGGAGCCCCACCCUGUUUGUGCAAAAUAAGGCUUGGCAGCUAAACCUGUGGCUCUGGUGUCGCAGCUGUGACAAAACCUUCCUGAAGAUCUUGAGAGAUGUCGCUAUGGGAUGGAUGAGGAAAGGAAGCCUGUCUAUUCAGCAGGAGCUUUUCCCUUUGCUCUGGUUUUGGUGGGUGAGAGCGCUCCAACUAAGGACGGUCCUCACUUUGCAGCCUUAGUUCUGGCAAGCAGACCACCCAUCUCUCUUCCAACCUCUGCUGUCUUUUCCUACUUGCUCACGUUUGGUGGGGAACCUGGGUAAGACAGAGAAUUGAGCCUCAGUUCUGCAAUGGGGUGGGACAGUCUAGAGAAAGGAAAGUAAAACUUAAGAUUGCUUUUUGAAGCAUA